rnacentral:rRNA from 1 species
UACAGAGACUGCAAGCGUUAUUCGGAUUCACUGGGCGUAAAGGGUGCGCAGGCGGUUGGGUGUGUCAGAUGUGAAAUCCCGAGGCUUAACCUCGGAACUGCGUCUGAAACUACUCGACUAGAGUACUGGAGAGGGAAACGGAAUUCACGGUGUAGCAGUGAAAUGCGUAGAUAUCGGGAGGAACACCAGUGGCGAAGGCGGGUCUCUGGGCCGUAACUGACGCUGAGGAGCGAAAGCGUGGGGAGCGAACAGG